UCCGGCUUAGCUCAGUUGGUAGAGCGUCUGACUGUUAAUCAGAAUGUCGUUGGUUCGAGUCCGACAGCCGGAG
rfam:Lactobacillus bifermentans DSM 20003 NODE_330, whole genome shotgun sequence.